AUUGAACGCUGGCGGCAUGCUUUACACAUGCAAGUCGAACGGUAACAGGGAGCUUGCUCCGCUGACGAGUGGCGAACGGGUGAGUAAUGCGUCGGAACGCACCGAGUAAUGGGGGAUAACGCAGCGAAAGUUGUGCUAAUACCGCAUACGUACUGAGGUAGAAAGUGGGGGACCUUCGGGCCUCACGCUAUUCGAGCGGCCGACGUCUGAUUAGCUAGUAGGUGAGGUAAAGGCUCACCUAGGCGACGAUCAGUAGCGGGUCUGAGAGGAUGAUCCGCCACACUGGGACUGAGACACGGCCCAGACUCCUACGGGAGGCAGCAGUGGGGAAUUUUGGACAAUGGGCGAAAGCCUGAUCCAGCCAUGCCGCGUGUCUGAAGAAGGCCUUCGGGUUGUAAAGGACUUUUGUCGGGGAGGAAAUCCCCAGCGUUAAUACCGCUGGGGGAUGACAGUACCUGAAGAAUAAGCACCGGCUAACUACGUGCCAGCCGCCGCAGUAACAC
rnacentral:rRNA from 1 species